AUGUGGAAGCACCGAUCUCAGAAUUGGUUGCUAUUUGACAGCAUAUUGCAACUUAAGGCUCCUUUCUUGUUGUGGCUAAACAAGCUGAAUGAGGAUGGAUUUAGGUCUGUUGCACAGACCUGCCAGUCUGCUGCUUCUGGCACUGGGGGUCUAGAAGAAAAGAGGCAGCACUGUCAUGCUGCAGCCACAUAUGGUGUGGGCACCAACACAGGAGUGUGAAGUGAGGACCAAGAAGUGAGGCUCAAUGUGUGAAAGCUAACAAAUUGCAUGCAUUAACUGGGGCUCUGAACAGAUUCUGAAAUGUUGAAGGGGGAGGAGACGGGGACUGUUCCUGGUAAAAUGCUGAAUUACUUUGGUAGCUGCAUGCGAUUGCUUAGCAUUAUAAAUGUGAAGAGACAACAUUUAAAGUUCUUAUACCUUGGACAUGUAUUAUUUUAUACAGAGGCCAACUGAUAACAAAACAGUACCCUGUCUGCCUCCAUUACUGACCUGUGCACCCAGUAAGGAAAGAAUUACCAAACUCACAGAGAAGGAUGAGAGAUAAAAUUGCAUGAUAGGAUGAUUACAGAACAGGAAAGGAAGUAAAGUGAAACUGAAGCUCCUCUUUACUAGGAGGGAUGCAGCCUUAUUAGUGUGGAAGGGUUCAGCUCUAAUUCUCAAAGCUUUGCACUUCUUGGCUUGCUUGGAAAUGAUGCCUGUUCUAUUCAUGCAGACCCCUUUCUUCCUCUAAACUGGAGCUCUGUUCAAUCCUUUGUCUGUUAGUCCGAUGACUUUUCCUCUUCCCCAGAUGACUAUACUUUUCAGCAUAAUUGCUGUAUUAUUUUUUUGAAGUCUCGUUUGUGAUUGAAAUUACACAAGAAAAGUUCAGAGAUAUUUCUCUGAGCUUUAAACUUCAACUGACGAGAAAAAAAAAAUGUAGCCAUACCAUUUCUUCCUUCAUAAUGUGAUCAAGUUAUUAAGUGCUUUAAAUAGAUUCUUACCUUCCUUUUAAAGUUUAAGAAAUUUAAUUUAAAAAAAAAAAAAAUCUCCAUAGGAAUCUGCCACAGAACCUUUUGGAAAAGUAUGGUGACAUCAAAAGAGGCUUAAACUUAAUCGGUGGUUUUCUCAGCUCUCACUCCUGGGUGUAGGGAUACAAAGUCUUUAGCUAAUGAGUGUGUGUGUGUGUAUAUAUAUAUAUAUAUUUAUAUAUAAAAUGAAAAUAUAUUUUCCCCUGAUAGAGUAUCAAAAUGAAAUUCAUGCUGUGAACACAUUUUCUUUAGCUUAUUGUUAUUGCUUUUACUUACCAAAGAAAACAACUGAAACAAAUUAUAGUAUACUCAUCAGUGAAGUUUGUUUCAAGGGUUUUGGGUGGUCAGUGUUAUUUUAGACCUUACAUGUCUCCAGUCAUUAUUUCACAGCAAGGUCCUACAAGCCGCCUUUUUCAUUGUUCUGGCUCUGCUGCUACGGGGAGAGCUGAGCUAAGGGACGCUGCUGUGAGAAAUCCUGUUUCUGAACUUUUCUACAAUGUAGGGAAAGCAAGUACAUUCAGUAGUAGGAAAGAAGAUGAGGGGGGAAAAUAAGUGUGGUGAUUCUGGCUCCCAAGGCCAUUUGUUUGCAGUGCACACUUGACAACUUCUUUUUCCAAUUAGGAAAAAAAAAAAAAAAAAAGCUUGAAAACAGAGUUCUCCAACAGUCAACACAAAACCAAGUAUCCAAAAAAAAAAAAAAAAAGACCACUUAAAAACAAAACUGUGUUUCUUAGUGCUCUUUUGACCCAGAGCAGCUGCAAUGGUAAUGAGAAGGCUCCAUGGAGGCUUGGCCUCUGACUUGCAUGAAUGCUUGCUGCACAGGGAAUAAUACUGAAGGAAACCUGUCCCUCUUCCUGUCUCUGAAAUCUCUUGUUUAACUUUGUUAGGACUACAUAUUUAUAUAUAUAAUCCCAAACUCAAAGUUUUUCCUAAUAAGAAAUAUUUGCUAUUGCACCAUGAACAAUCCUCAAACAGCGUUGGCAUCUCCAAGUAGAAUUUGUUGUGUGGGCUAUAUAUGCUUUAAAGUAUUUAUUCUUACAUGAAGUAAGCCUUUGUUUCAAGAAAAUCCUGCCCCUCCUCUCACAUGCAUGUGUAAGGAUGUUCUGAACUCUCUUUAAUUGCUGAGCAGGCUGAGACCCCCAUGGUUUGUUGCUAAGUGCACUAUAGAAGAACCUUGGUAGCCUGCAAAAUGAAAUCUGAAGCCUGGUCGCACAGUUCCGUGAAGUUUUUCUCAGGCUGAGAUGGCUUCUGUGUCACAGCUUGUUUCAGCCCCUUCCCAUGUUUGGCCCUUUAUUGUGGAU
rnacentral:lncRNA from 1 species